AAGGAUUUCAAUCUUUUGGGUUUGUUCAAUUAGAUCAAACUGUGGUUCUAGUGUGUUUGAUACUUUCAUUUGCUUUAUAGUGCAGGAAAACAAAGGAGUAUGUUCUGAGUCAAAGUAAAGGUUCAGUUGAUAUUAAUUUUUUUUCCUCAAUAUCGACGACAUCAAUUCUUAGAUUGCUCUUUGUCCGGGGUUUAAUUUGUUCCGAUAACUGUGUUAUGUGAUUCAAAUAGAGUUCAAGCUCCUUUGGCCUUUGAUCUUGGUAAAAAAAAAUAUAUAUCCCACCAUUGAAGACCAUUUUGUUCUUAUUUGUCCAUAUUUUGAGCAGCUCUAAUGUCUCGGUAUUUCUUUUGGUUCUAUCCUCUUCUUUUGGUUCUAUCCAUUUUUUUUUGUUUGUUUUCAUUUUCGGUGUAGAGCCGAUGAGAUAUCUUCGGGUGAAAAUCUAUGGAGGAUUUGUUAACAUGUGCCUGGUCGAGUUUGGUUGAUUUUGGGCGGGAUCCAAUUUGUUAGUUUCUCAGAGUGCAAUAUAAAUUUUCCCCAAGAUGGAUUCGUGGGACUAUAGAUUUGGGAAGUUCCCAAUCCUCUGCUCAGAUUGAAUAGAUAAUCUAGGACCUCAAUGAUCGAUUGCACCGAAUUCCAGUAUAUAGCUUGCUGAUUUGAUUUUCAUUUUUUAGCGGUUUAUCAGGUAAAGUUACAGUUUUCAUGAAAUAUACUCAAUUAAAGAAAACUGUAUUUCCUUCUUUCUGAGUUUCAAUCUGAUUUUCGUUUCCUUCUUUCUUUCUUUCUUCUUUUUGCUAUCGAGUGCCACCCG